rnacentral:rRNA from 1 species
GGGCUUGACAUCCCACGAACCUGCCCGAAAGGGUCGGGUGCCCGCAAGGGAGCGUGGAGACAGGUGGUGCAUGGCUGUCGUCAGCUCGUGUCGUGAGAUGUUGGGUUAAGUCCCGCAACGAGCGCAACCCUCACCCCUUGUUGCCACCGGGUCAUGCCGAGCACUCUAGGGGAACUGCCAGCGUCAAACCGGAGGAAGGCGGGGAUGACGUCAAGUCAUCAUGCCCCUUACGCCCUGGGCAACACACGUGCUACAAUGGCUGGUACAAAGGGAUGCAAGACCGCGAGGUGGAGCUAAUCCCAAAAAACCAGUCUAAGUUCAGAUUGCAGUCUGCAACUCGACUGCAUGAAGGAGGAAUCGCUAGUAAUCGCGCAUCAGCACGGCGCGGUGAAUACGUUCCCGGGCCUUGUACACACCGCCCGUCACACCACGAAAGCCGGCUGUACUCGAAGUCGCUGAG